GAUGAACGCUGGCGGCGUGCUUAACACAUGCAAGUCGAGCGGACGGACGAGUAGCUUGCCUGUCUGGUGUUAGCGGCGGACGUGAGAGUAACACGUGGAUCACCUACCUAUAAGUCUGGGAUCACUUCGUGAAACCGGAGCUAAUACGGGAUAAUAUUUUGAACCGCAUGGUUCAAAAGAGAAAUACGGUCUUGCUGUCACUUAUAGCUGGUUCCGCGCUGCAUUAGCUAGUUGGUAAGGUAACGGCUUACCAAGGCAACGAUGCAUAGCCGACCUGAGAGGGUGAUCGGCCACACUGGAACUGAGACACGGUCCAGACUCCUACGGGAGGCAGCAGUAGGGAAUCUUCCGCAAUGGGCGAAAGCCUGACGGAGCAACGCCGCGUGAGUGAUGAAGGUCUUCGGAUCGUAAAACUCUGUUAUUAGGGAAGAACAUAUGUGUAAUUAACUGUGCAGAUCUUGACGGUACCGAAUCAGAAAGCCACGGCUAACUACGUG
rnacentral:rRNA from 1 species